CCUACGUGGGGCAGCAGUGAGGAAUAUUGGUCAAUGGACGGAAGUCUGAACCAGCCAUGCCGCGUGCAGGAAGACGGCUCUAUGAGUUGUAAACUGCUUUUGUACAAGGGUAAACCGGAAGACGUGGAUGCAGCUGAAAGGACUGUACGAAUAAGGAUCGGCUAACUCCGUGCCAGCCGCCGCGGUAAUACGGCGGUUACAAGCGUUAUCCGGAUUUGUUGGGGUUAAAGGGUGCGUAGGCGGAGUGAUCAGUUAGAGGUGACAUGUCCGAGCUUAACUCGGGAACUGCCUCUCAUACUUUUGUUCUAUAUCGUAGAUGCGUUAUGCGGCAUUUCUGUUGUAGCGGUGACAUGCUU
rnacentral:rRNA from 1 species